CCUACGGGGGGCAGCAGUCGAGAAUCAUUCACAAUGGGGGAAACCCUGAUGGUGCGACGCCGCGUGGGGGAAUGAAGGUCUUCGGAUUGUAAACCCCUGUCAUGUGGGAGCAAAUUAAAAAGAUAGUACCACAAGAGGAAGAGACGGCUAACUCUGUGCCAGCAGCCGCGGUAAUACAGCGGUCUCAAGCGUUGUUCGGAAUCACUGGGCGUAAAGCGUGCGUAGGCUGUUUCGUAAGUCGUGUGUGAAAGGUGCGGGCUCAACCCGCGGACGGCACAUGAUACUGCGAGACUAGAGUAAUGGAGGGGGAACCGGAAUUCGCGGUGUAGCAGCGAAAUGCGUAGAUAUCGAGAGGAACACUCGUGGCGAAGGCGGGUUCCUGGACAUUAACUGACGCUGAGGCACGAAGGCCAGGGGAGCGAAAGGGAUUAGAUACCCUAGUAGUC
rnacentral:rRNA from 1 species